GAGGUAGGCGGGGCCCGCCGUGGUCCUCCCGGCCCCGGGGCGCCCGAAGUCCACCCCAGGCUGGAACGAGGCGCAAAUAAUUCGUUCUUCCGAACAGCAUAAAAUGCAGGCGACGAGGGGGAGGGGGACCGGAGGGCCUACCCGCGAAGUUCAGACGCUAAGGAUGUGCUUCAGGAAGGCUGCAGAGACAGGAGACAAGAGAGCUUCAAGAAGCAGACCCCCGGGCCACCAACCCCCAAGUUUUAGUGUUUUGAAGAUUAGCAUCCUUUGACACCUUACCAGCAUUCUACCACUGAAAAUUGAAGACUGGAGAUGAAGGACCUUGAGCACCUCGGCGUUGGUGGGGUUCUGGCCCAGGGCCCUCAUCACAUCCCCACACUGGCUGUACAGGAUCUUGCCAUCACCUACUCGGUCAAACAGCUCAAAGGCCUCCUUGAACUCUGAGAAGAGGUUUACAGGAGAGGACUCACCACCACUUUGGAGAGAUCAACAGGGGGCUCCUGGGUUUUCACAGGCAUCUGGGAGACAGCUGGCUCAGCCUUGGUCUUUGCUGGAGGGGUUCCUGCUGCAGGCUUGGCAGCAGG